rnacentral:rRNA from 1 species
UAGGGAAUCUUCCACAAUGGACGCAAGUCUGAUGGAGCAACGCCGCGUGAGUGAAGAAGGUUUUCGGACCGUAAAGCUCUGUUGUUGGUGAAGAAGGAUAGAGGUAGUAACUGGCCUUUAUUUGACGGUAAUCAACCAGAAAGUCACGGCUAACUACGUGCCAGCAGCCGCGGUAAUCGUAGGUGGCAAGCGUUGUCCGGAUUUAUUGGGCGUAAAGCGAGCGCAGGCGGAAGAAUAAGUCUGAUGUGAAAGCCCUCGGCUUAACCGAGGAAUUGCAUCGGAAACUGUUUUCUUGAGUGCAGAAGAGGAGAGUAGAACUCCAUGUGUAGCGGUGGAAUGCGUAGAUAUAUGGAAGAAUACCAGUGGCGAAGGCGGCUCUCUGGUCUGCAACUGACGCUGAGGCUCGAAAGCAUGGGUAGCGAACAGGAUUAGAUACCCUGGUAGUCCAUGCCGUAAACGAUGAGUGCUAAGUGUUGGGAGGCUUCCGCCUCUCAGUGCUGCAGCUAACGCAUUAAGCACUCCGCCUGGGGAGUACGACCGCAAGGUUGAAAC